GACGAACGCUGGCGGCGUGCUUAACACAUGCAAGUCGAACGGAAAGGCCCUGCUUGCAGGGUACUCGAGUGGCGAACGGGUGAGUAACACGUGGGUGAUCUGCCCUGCACUUCGGGAUAAGCCUGGGAAACUGGGUCUAAUACCGGAUAGGAGCCAUUUUUAGUGUGAUGGUUGGAAAGUUUUUUCGGUGUAGGAUGAGCUCGCGGCCUAUCAGCUUGUUGGUGGGGUAAUGGCCUACCAAGGCGGCGACGGGUAGCCGGCCUGAGAGGGUGGACGGCCACAUUGGGACUGAGAUAAGGCCCAGACUCCGACGGGAGGCAGCAGUGGGGAAUAUUGCACAAUGGGCGCAAGCCUGAUGCAGCGACGCCGCGUGGGGGAUGACGGCCUUCGGGUUGUAAACUCCUUUCGCUAGGGACGAAGCUUUUUGUGACGGUACCUAGAUAAGAAGCACCGGCUAACUACGUG
rnacentral:rRNA from 1 species